rnacentral:rRNA from 1 species
UACGUAGGGGGCUAGCGUUGUCCGGAAUCAUUGGGCGUAAAGAGCGUGUAGGCGGCCCGGUAAGUCCGCCGUGAAAGUCCAGGGCUCAACCCUGGAAUGCCGGUGGAUACUGUCGGGCUAGAGUCCGGAAGGGGCGAGUGGAAUUCCUGGUGUAGCGGUGAAAUGCGCAGAUAUCAGGAGGAACACCGAUGGCGAAGGCAGCUCGCUGGGACGGUACUGACGCUGAGACGCGAAAGCGUGGGGAGCAAACAGA